GACGAACGCUGGCGGCGUGCUUAACACAUGCAAGUCGAACGGAAAGGCCCUGCUUUUGUGGGGUGCUCGAGUGGCGAACGGGUGAGUAGCACGUGAGUAACCUGCCCUUGACCUUGGGAUAACUUCAGGAAACUGGGGCUAAUACCGGAUAGGAGCUCCUGCUGCAUGGUGGGGGUUGGAAAGUUUCGGCGGUUGGGGAUGGACUCGCGGCUUAUCAGCUUGUUGGUGGGGUAGUGGCUUACCAAGGCUUUGACGGGUAGCCGGCCUGAGAGGGUGACCGGCCACAUUGGGACUGAGAUACGGCCCAGACUCCUACGGGAGGCAGCAGUGGGGAAUAUUGCACAAUGGGCGGAAGCCUGAUGCAGCAACGCCGCGUGCGGGAUGACGGCCUUCGGGUUGUAAACCGCUUUCGCCUGUGACGAAGCGUGAGUGACGGUAAUGGGUAAAGAAGCACCGGCUAACUACGUG
rnacentral:rRNA from 1 species